rnacentral:pre_miRNA from 1 species
AUAAGGUAGAGAAAUUGAUGCUGUCUACACUAUUCAGACUUCAGUUUCAUUACCUUUCAA